rnacentral:misc_RNA from 1 species
AAAAAGGCAUCACAUCAUAUCAAAUGCAUCACAACGAGCCAGAGUAUUUUUACAAUUUACUGGUAAAGUAGCUAAACCAUAUACAGAAAAAUUGAAAUUCCUAGCAGGUAGAAAUGUAGAAGGAAAAUACAUUAAAACACAUCCAUCAUAUUUCAAGCACACCUAUUAGAUCAGUCGGGUUAACAAUCCAUAUUAUCAUAUAUGAUGAAUUCAUAAGAAGCAGAUGAUCAAAUAACUAAUAAUGCAAUGAAAUUGCCACAGAUCAUCUUCAAACUGAUCAAACAUGUACAAGCCCAGCAGUGGCAGCUUAUUUUUCUUAUCGGAACGAAUAAAUCAACACACAUUUAGGUUGGCUGACGUGAUUCCAUGAACAGUCUCAUGGUCUGUUUGUAUAACUUGGAAUAUCAAGGUUAAUCUUCAACUCCUUCAGGCUUCAACAGCUAACAAGAACUCUUCUACUCUAAGGCGUCUACAAGGGUCACUUGAAGUACUAGAAAUUUUACUGUGAACCUUUAAUGAAGGAAUUCUAUAUGAGGCUUUUCUUCUUUCGUCUCCAAUACAAUCAAGAAAGAUUCAUUCCUCUAUCCAACAAUGUCAGUGGGACGUAAAAUUUUUGAAUAAUUACAAAUAACGAUUAAUAAUAACUACAAAAGCUCAACAAGAACUUCUAUCACCAAUCUUAUCUUAGUCGCUUUGUUACAUAAGCAUCCUCUGCAUUGACAGUGUCAACAACAUUAUCAUCAUCAUCCUCAUCUGUAAAAUCAGAGCCAACAUCGCUACCCAAGUCCGCAUUCAAAUCAUCCUUAUACUCUCGAUCUUGCUUAUCCUUGCUAGCCUCAAAAUUAUUUUCCAUGUAGUCUCUUCCAAGUCGCUCCAUUUCAUCACCUUCACUAUUCCGCUUAUAGCUAACCAAUUCUAUAUCCACUUUUGCCUUCCUUGGACUCAUCAACACCAACUCACACAAUUUCCUCCUUGCCAGAUACAAAUCAUUUGGCUCUACCAAUUCCCCCUUCCUAUAGGCCUCCCUAAGAAACACCGUGUGCAGCUUACCAUGAUUCCCUCUUGUUGAAACAUAGAAUAUCCCCUGAUGCUGAAGGCAAAACUCCUUCAACUUCUUAGGUAAAUUCAUAGCCAUUCUAAAAUGUGCUAUCCUCUCCAGUGUGAUUUUCUUCUCCACCGUCAUUGACAACAAUUCAUGAAUAGUUGCCACUGCUCUCUUCUCCAAUCUUUUCUGAGCCUCAAUUGACCUCAGAUCAUAUCCAGAAAUAUCCUCAUAAGGUGACCAAUAAGGUGUCCUUUGCCAUUUCCACACUGCAAUCCUGUAAUACUUUCCUAUCUUAAAACCAGGUGGAAAAUUGAUGAUAAACGAAAACCUAAUAUCUUCAGCAUCCAUCCCUUUCUCCCUAUACUCUCUCUCCCUAGCUUUCUCUAUCGCGCAAACAGCUAAUUUGGGGUCUCUGUCAACAAUCUCAAUGUACUUAUUCCUCGUUUCUUCCGCAUCUAUUAGUCUAAAAUACCGUGGGUUUUUAAGAACAACAGAGUACUCAAAAUCAUCAGGCAGCCCAAAUUCAGACCUGGCAAUCCGUAUAUGUUCCAAUCGCAGCCGACCAGUGCUCGACAUCAUUAUCAGUUUCCUUAAGCGGGUGACAGCAUCGGGUAUCUGGGCAAUCAAGGCUUCCUUUUCUUGUUGAAUUUGAAGAAGGGCUUUGCGGGAUAAACGACAAUAGAGGAUGCGUUGAACAGGGUGCUCAUAGACUUCGAAGACGUGGGGGAAUUUCAAUACAAAAGCGCCGGCCUCGUACUGUUUGAAGCCGAGGCGGCGAGCGAGGUUGUCAAGGCGAGAGAUUGGCAUAGUUUGGUUGAUUUGGGAGAGAAUUAGGGACUGGAACUUGAGAACCUUGCGGGUUUUCUUCUCGAUUUCCAUGUAAUUGUCGUAGCCAUGGUCGCGCACUCGCUGCUGCUUUCUGGGAAUGGAGGUGCAUUGGGACAUUGAUUUGGUGAAGAUGAGCUUGUAGAGGGUGGAUUGGAUAGUUUCUAGGGUUUUGGUAUUGAGUUUGAGGAGAUUGAAAGAAAUGAAAAAGAGCAUUUUGGCGUAUGACCUGAUGGGUACACAGGCUUAGGGUUUGGCAAAGAGGGCAGACUGAUCAAAUGCUGCCAUAACGGGAUAAGUGGAAAUUUGCGAAUUG